UGCCAGCCGCCGCGGUAAUACGUAAGUCGCACGCGUUAUCCGGAAUUAUUGGGCGUAAAGCGCGUGUAGGCGGUUCGUUAAGUCUGAUGUGAAUGCCCGGGCUCAACCCCGGAAGUGCAUUGGAAACUGGCGAACUUGAGUACGGGAGAGGAAAGUGGAAUUCCGAGCGUAGGGGUGAAAUCCGUAGAUAUUCGGAGGAACACCAGUGGCGAAGGCGGCUUUCUGGACCGAUACUGACGCUGAGACGCGAAAGCGUGGGGAGCAAACAGGAUUAGAUA
rnacentral:rRNA from 1 species